rnacentral:tRNA from 2 species
GGGCCGUUAGCUCAACAGGUAGAGCAGGGGCCUCUUAAGCCUCGUGUUGGGGGUUCGAGUCCCUCACGGCCCUCCA